UUCUCACAUCCUCACAUUCAGUAAUCAGCACUGAACAUAUACCACUCAUCAUGGACUUCCAGCUCAACUUGGUUUUCCUUGUUUUUAUUUUAAAAGGUGUACAGUGUGAGGUGCAGCUGGUGGAGUCUGGGGGAGGAUUGGUGCAACUUGGAAGGUCCAUGAAACUCUCCUGUGCACCCUCUGGAUUCACUUUUAGCAGCUAUGGCAUGGCCUGUGUUCGUCAGGCUCCUGAGAAGGGGCUGGAAUGGAUUGCAUACAUUAGUAGUAGCAGCAAUUACAUCUACUAUGCAGAUGCAGUGAAGGGACGAUUCACCAUCUCCAGAGACAAUGCCAAGAACACCCUGUUCUGCAAAUGAGCAGUCUAAUGUCUGAAGACACAGCCAUGUUCUACUGUGCAAGACACACAGGGAGGGAAUGCUACUGUGAGCUCAAACAUAAAC